rnacentral:lncRNA from 1 species
CCCCGCCAUGCCACACUGCUGGGACUGUCCCUAAACUGGGCGGAGGGAGGGGCAGGAUCAGAACCCCUGCCAUUUCUACUCUGCAUUUCCAUGUGAAAUCUUCUAAAAGCUGUUUCUUGUUAACAAAUAUCAGUUAUGAAUUUGGUUGCUGUGAACUCUGUGACAGCCUUUAGUAAUGGACAGAUGGGAGGGAACCGUGACAGGGAUUCCGUGCCCCGCGUAAUAGUUCAAAGGAAAGCAGUUGAAUACUCUGCUGCCUGGAAGUGUCAUCGCCACGGCCGUGACAGGAGUGAGCUCAUGGCAGCGGUGAUCCUGAAAAAAGGCCAUCGCUCAGCAGCCCAGCAGAUUUCUCCAACCGGAAACCCAGGCAGAAGCAGGCGACUUCCAGACUUAUUUGAGAAAGAAAAGGAAAGAGGUUCUCCCCUGCAGCCUCUUGCAGUCUGGCCCUGCUGCUCCUGUGUCCAGGCUGGGCCGGGGCCCCUGCCUCAUCCUCUACUUAGUGGAUCCAGAAGUGCAUCCUGCCAGGCGGAGGAGAGUAAUAACUCCCAGUACCGUCCAGCUGUACCACAUGGCCACGGCCUCUGGGGGAAGGGGAGCGUAAAUCCAAUCCUUCUGCCCAGGCAAGGGAGUCCCAAGGAAAUCGGCUCUCGGCUGGAUGCAUCAGGACCCAGGAGCUCAGCUCGAGGUCACACACUCAAGAUGACUGAUGUCAGCACCCAGCUGGCCACCCGUCCUCUGCCUUCCAGGCCCUUCCCACUCUGGCUCUUCCUGCCCCAUGUCGCCUGACUUCUGCUGCCUCCUUCCA